rnacentral:rRNA from 1 species
AAUGAACGUUGGCGGCAUGGAUUAGGCAUGCAAGUCGAGCGAGAAGAGUUUUGAAGCUUGCUUUAGAACUCGGACAGCGGCGAAAGGGAGAGUAACGCGUAGUUAUGUGCCCUAGGGUCCGGAAUAGCCACGGGAAACUGUGGGUAAUGCCGGAUAAUAUCCCCGGAUCAAAGGUGUGAUUCCGCCCUAGGAGCAGACUGCGUCCUACUAGCUAGUUGGUGGGGUAAUGGCCUACCAAGGCAACGAUGGGUAGCGGGUGUGAGAGCAUGACCCGUCUCACUGGGACUGAGACACUGCCCAGACACCUACGGGUGGCUGCAGUCGAGAAUCUUCGGCAAUGGGCGAAAGCCUGACCGAGCGAUGCCGCGUGCGGGAUAAAGGCCCUCGGGUUGUAAACCGCUGUCGUAGGGGAGGAAGGUUCCGUGAAGAGCGGAAUUUGACCUAUCCUGGGAGGAAGUACGGGCUAAGUUCGUGCCAGCAGCCGCCGUAA